rnacentral:rRNA from 1 species
AUGAAGUGGCAGCCGUUCAUGUCCACGUUCGUGCUGAACAAGAUGUGUGGGCUCAUCUUUAGUGGAGUUAGGACUGACAAGGGCUUCAAGGAGGUGCACUUGAACACCGUUGCGAAGCAGGUGUUCGAGUUCUGUGGGCAAGAGGUGUCUGCCACCCAACACAUCUUCUCCUUCAGGCUGGCAACUAGGAAGCAUGCCAUGGGCUCGGGUGAGCCUCUUGGUUCUCCCAUGCCAGACUUCCCUGGGACACCCGACGUCGAGGUCCUUGAUGGCCCUGACAAGCCCGCUGCGAAGCCCUUCGACAAGCCAUUUGACCCCGUCCAUGAUAGGAAGAGGAAGAGAGGAGGCCUGAUGGAGGAGGAGAUCAAUGUCUUUUGCAGCAUGACUGAGGCGGUGAAGGAGGUGGCAACAGCCAUCAGGGAGUGCAAGCCCCUCGACGUCCACCCUGACCUGUAUGGCGCUGUCAUGACCCAGGGUGGAUUCAGCGACGAGGCUCUCAUGGCAGCUCUCAGCCACCUGCUUGACAACAAGGCCCAGGGUGUUGGGUUCGUUGCCAUGGCCGACGCUCACAGGGGCAAGUGGUAUGCCGUGUUCAUCGGUGAGGUUCCAGGGGUUUAUAGUUCAUGGGAAGAAGCCAAUGCACAAGUGGCAUCGUAUAGCAAUAGCAACUAUAGAGGGUUCAAGACUAGGCAGGUAGCAGAACAAGCUUACUCCGCCUGGGUGCGAAAGCAUGGAGGCAGCAGUGUCGACAGUGCCAAGGUUGGAGCUGUCAAAGUGGAAGCUGCUAAGGUGGAUCGU